AGUGAACGCUGGCGGUAGGCCUAACACAUGCAAGUCGAACGGCAGCACAGUAAGAGCUUGCUCUUACGGGUUGCGAGUGGCGGACGUGUGGGGAAGACAUCGUAAUCUACUUUGUCGUGGGGGAUAACGUAGGGAAACUUACGCUAACACCGCAUACGACCUACCGGUGAAAGCAGGGGAUCUUCGGACCUUGCGCGAUUGAAUGAGCCGAUGUCGGAUUAGCUAGUUGGCGGGGUAAAGGCCCACCACGGCGACGAUCCGUAGCUGGUCUGAGAGGAUGAUCAGCCACACUGGAACUGAGACACGGUCCAGACUCCUACGGGAGGCAGCAGUGGGGAAUAUUGGACAAUGGGCGAAGGCCUGAUCCAGCAAUCCCGCGUGGGUGAAGAAGGCCUUGGGGUUGUAAAGCCCUUUUUUUGGGAAAGAAAAGCAGCAGGUUAAUACCCUGCUGUUCUGACGGUACCCAAAGAAUAAGCACCGGCUAACUUCGUG
rnacentral:rRNA from 1 species